GUGGAUUAGAUACCCGAGUAGUCCUGGCAGUAAACGGUGUGCGCUUGGUGUGAGGGGAAUCGACCCCCCUUGUGCCGGAGCUAACGCGUUAAGCGCACCGCCUGGGAAGUACGGCCGCAAGGCUAAAACUCAAAGAAAUUGACGGGGACCCGCACAAGCGGUGGAGUAUGUGGCUUAAUUCGAUGCAACGCGAAGAACCUUACCUAGGCUUGACAUGCAUCUCUAAGCGCGUGAAAGCGCGUGACCCUUCGGGGGAUUUGCACAGGUGCUGCACGGCCGUCGACAACU
rnacentral:rRNA from 1 species